ACACAACACAACCUACUCACCCUUAUUUCUCUCUCUCUUGCAAUGGCUGCAAUUCUCCUCCUCACCAUGGCAUCCCUUUCCUCACUUUUUUUCUCCAACCACCGCUUGAAUCCCCGGAGUCUACUCCAGUGGUCCCUGAACCACGCGCUUCCGCUUCAAAAAUUUCCCAAAACACAGAACUCACCGCAAAAUAUUUUCAAAAGCAAAAACCCGCUUAUGUUUCCUUUCAUAAACCCCCUUAUUUCCCCUCACUUUUCAUUCUCUUUUAUUACUCUUAUCUCCAUUCCGUUCUAA